AUCCAGAUGACGAGUCCCGAAUAGGACGAAAUGCGCGUUAUCCUGGAU
rnacentral:hammerhead_ribozyme from 1 species